rnacentral:rRNA from 1 species
UACGUAGGGUGCGAGCGUUGUCCGGAAUUAUUGGGCGUAAAGAGCUCGUAGGCGGUCUGUCGCGUCGAUCGUGAAAACUUGGGGCUUAACCCUGAGCUUGCGGUCGAUACGGGCAUCACUGGAGUUCGGCAGGGGAGACUGGAAUUCCUGGUGUAGCGGUGAAAUGCGCAGAUAUCAGGAGGAACACCGGUGGCGAAGGCGGGUCUCUGGGCCGAUACUGACGCUGAGGAGCGAAAGCGUGGGGAGCAAACAGG